rnacentral:lncRNA from 1 species
CGGGCACGGCCGGAGCGCAGGGAAAGGUCGCCGGGGGCGGGGACUUAAUUAGCUGCUCCGCCGCCGGCGAUAAGCGGAGGUCAGCGCCCGCGGCGGGGAGGGAGCCCGCCCCCCUUCCGGUCCUGCGUGCCUUUUUCCCCAGAGGAGAAGAGACAGAUGCAAAAACUCGUAUGAAGAUAACUAAUAUUCUAAGGCAAUGUUUUUAAAUAUCAGAAUUAGUAGGAAAAAAUAAAUCCACGAUGAACAAAAUACCAGCAUUUUUACAUAAAGACAGGACCCGCCAGGACUCGGAUCGGGGUGAGGCGAGUCAUGCAAGUGCAGGGUCGGAUCUUAUCUUUUACAUGUUAAAAAAUAGAUGUUUUGAUCAUCACGUUUUUUGCAUUAAUUUUGGUUUCUUUGAGUAAUUAUCUUGAUGACUGAGCUUUUGGCAUCCCCUUAAAUUUUGCGCCCUAAUCCCCACCAGACACAGAGGAGAGAGGAAAAAGAAAGCCAAGUCUCAGAGCCCGAGGUUUUCAUUGCAGUUCUGCUGUGUGACAAUGAAAAAGUGGCUCCCCCUCUCUGAGCUUCCUAGUUCAACCAACAUUACACUUCCUCUGUGCAAGGCCUAGGCUGUAAAAGUGAAGAAAACAGACGAGUCCCUAGACUUUGCUAGGGGAGACACAAUGAAAUUAGUAGAUAAAAUGGGUUAAUGAGGGCCGUGAGAGCGGUAUAAGAGGCUGUGCAGGAGAAGUGAGAGGAUGCUGUGGCCUGUUACCUGAGGAGAGGACAUGCGGGCUGGGCCUGAGCUGGGAGGAGAAGCAACCCCACAAAACCAAGGUGGAGGAACUCCAGAGGCAAAGGCCUGGGAGCAGGAACAAACAUCUGGCUGGAGCGGAUGACAAGGAAAAUGCCAGGAGGUGAAGUCGGAGACGUACAGAUGGGCAAAUGAUUCCGCAGAAAUGCUCCCAGCAGCCCAGCGUGGUAGAAUGUUACCCCACUUGACAGUGUUCUUUGCUGCCCCUGGGAGUGACCUGAUGGAAAAGCAGCAGCUGCAGCCCCAGUCUGCCUGGAAGUGCCAGCUGAGACCCAACCCUGAGAAGACCCCCUAAGAAUUCAGGAGACUUCCAGGCAGGAAGCGCCCAGAUAAACCGCAGCUGCCAAGCAAGUGGCUCAGCCCCAGCAGCCAGGGCUGUGAGACUGCCCUGGGGUGUGUGUGUGGG